UUUUCGGUGAUACCUGCCCUUUGAAUUGAUCCAUAAAGCAUUUAAAGAGUGAGGCAUGCUUAGUAUAAUUUGUAAUGGAAAUCUCUGGGUAUGGAUGAUUUAGACCACCAAGAUCAAGUUAUGACUUCUAAAGGACCCAACUUCGAUUCUCACACAAACCUAGUUUCCUCAAGUUUCAUGUCAACUCUCAAAAGUAACUCCAAUUCAUACUAGUUUAGGGAUCCAUCUUUUAAUAAUUUCUAAAACCCAAAAAACGAACGUGAAGAGUUUGAUGUCUUCUCUAUGAAACUCAGGUCUUAGGGAUCCAUUUUUUGUUUGUUUUUGCUAAUGAAAAUUUUUAUUUUUAUUUUUAUCUAAUUCUUUACUUUCUUCACUGGCUCCUAGAGAUCUACAUGCACCAUGAAAUAUGUUUUUUGAUAUUAUUUGCCCUAUGGUGAUAGUCCAUCAUGUGAAUAGUAACAUUGUCGUGUUUUUUGAUAUGUUGAUUCGUUACAAUGAUUUUAUUAUAUAAUGGAUGCAAUGUUGGGUCAUUUUCCUCCUCAAUGUAAGUUAUUUCAUAACAAUAAUGAUUAGCAUGGAAGGUUGCCACGUUGCUCCUUACUUUUCCUUACAGAGCAAAUGAAGCCUCAAAAAGCAAUCAAUAUAGAAUGGAUGAUGAUAUGAUAGGUGAUUUAGGAACUAUUUUAACUGAUUAUGAGCAAAAUGAAUGCAUAAGUACUGGAAUGGAAGAUAAUUUGGCAAUCCUAGCAAUUGACGACGAAGGUCCUUUGAAUACUUAAUCACAAGAGGACAUGUUGUUUGAGUCCGAAUUAUCAGUGAGGAUCUUUUAUACUGAUUAUGUACGACAAAGGGGUUUUGGCAUCCGUUGCUGUGGUAAACGUACUUCCAGGAAUGAUGAGUGUAUUAGUCAAUACUUUGUAUGCUCCAUGCAAGGUUAUCAUGCAAAAAAAUACGAAAGUAGUGAGAGACCACACCCAAUUACGAGGAUGGGUUGCAAUGGCAAGGACAUAUACAAACAAAGUGAUAUCAGGGCCGUGGAUCAUUAGAAAAUUUGUUGAGGACCAUAAUCAUGCGAUGUUGUCGCCGAGAAAAGUCGCAUUGAUUCGAUCUCACAGGCAUGUCUUGUUGAAGCAAGAAUACGACCCUCAAAUGUUAUGUCGGUUUUGAGAGCACAGGCCGGGGGAUUAUACAACCUUGGUAUUACUUUGAGGGAUUGUCAAAAUUAUAUCCAAAGCACUUGAAGACAUAUUGAUAAAAGUGAUGCUCAAUGUGUGCUGAAUUAUAUCAUGAAAUAGAAACAACAGAAUCCAUUAUUCUAUUGUGCAAUAGAAAUGAAUGAGGACUAUGGCUUGAAGCAUUUUCUAUGGGUGCAUCCUCGGGCAAUAAUAUCUUAUUGUGCAUUUGGUGAUGUUGUUACCUUUGACACAACAUAUUAAACGAAUCGCUAUGGCAUGAGAUGUGCUCAAUUUGUGGGAGUUAACCAUUAUCAAGAGUCCAAUUUAUUUGGAUGUGCGCUUUGGGCUGAUGAAACUGAAUGCUCUUUCUUAUUGUUAUUUAAUAAUUGGCUUGAAGUGAUGAAUAAGAGCCCUCCCAUCUCAAUAAUCACAGAUCAGGAUCUCAAUAAUCACAGACCAGGAUCAAGCAAUUCGAGCAGUUGUGGCAAAAGCAUUUCCACAUAACUCGGCAUCGAUUUAGCACGUGGUUUAUCAUAAAGAAAUAUACUGAAAAGUUGAGUGAUGUUGAUUGCAAAUACCCUGAAUUUCAUGGUGAGUUCUUUAAGUGCAGUGAGCUAGAGGAUGUGGAUGAGUUUGAAGAGUGUUGGUGAUCUUUCAUAGAUAAAUAUAUGGCUUCUAUUCUUAUUAAAAAAUUGUGAACAUUGGGUCAAGGCAUACUUACAAAAGCACAUUUUUUUUUGCAAAUAUGUCAACUGCCCAACAAAGUGAAAGUAUAAACAUAUUUUUAAAAAGCACAUGUUUUGCAAAUAUGUCAUCUACCCAACGAAGUGAAAGUAUAAACAUAUUUUUGGAUGGUUAUGUUGAUGUUCGUAGUAGCCUACAAGUAUUUGUCACUCAGGUUGGAAAUGCAAUUGACCUUCGCUAUGAAAAGGAACGUAAACAUGAUAUACAAACGAUCAACACAACACCAAUAAUGAAGGUGAGACUACUUAUAGAAUUCCAAUUUUUCAGAAAUUUUUUCUUGAAAAAUGUUCCUGAUAUUUAUAGAAGAAUUAGUUGAAAGCGAAUGUUAUAUUGCAGAGAUAAUUGAGGAUGCUGGUAGUGUUAUGACAUUUAGGAUGGCAAGAGUUCGGCUAGAGAAACGAGCAUAUAUUGUCUUAUUCAAUAAUUUUAAAGUGAUUGCUAGUUGUACUUGUAAAUUAUUUGAGUUUGGAGGAGUUCUUUUUAGGCAUGUCUUGAGGGUUUUAUGCAUGAAAAAUAUCUUGCUUCUCCCACCUCAUUACAUUUUGAAGUGGUGGACAAGAAAUGCUACAAGAGGCUUCGAUUUUGGGGAGAAUGCGAGCCAAGCACAAGGUAAUCCUCAAGAGUCUGAAUUGUUGCGAUACCGUGAUCUUGGCCGACGUGUCCUUCAACUAUGUGAUGAAGGGGCAACAACUGUAGAGUGCUAUCACUUCACAAUGUGCGGCAUUGAUAAGCUUUUGGAAGACGUGAAGGCCACAACAAAAGAUGUUGCAUCUUCACAUAUGGAUAGUUGCAUAGAUUUAAGCUUACAACAAGAAGGUCAACAUUGGUACUAAAGGAAGGGAUUUUUUUUAUACCUUAGAGGCAUGUGCCAAAUUUUGAGGCAUGGGUCCACGAUCAAGUGAUCAAUUACUGUGCAAGAAGGUUUUGUAUGGAGCCAUGCAGUUUUUUGAUAUAUGUAUUGAUCCAUGGAAUGCAUUCCACUUUUGAGCUUUGAUAAGGGGUGCACUUUCUUGAUAUAAGGGAGUCGUAUACCUCCUUGAUGCAUGAAAAUUAUACUUGCCGUGGCUAUAGGGCCUUGCUCAACUAUUAUUACAAGACAUCAUAUAUAGCAAAAAAGCAUGCAGGUUUUGGAGUCGAUGCCUGCUGACAUGUGUUUUUUCUGUGAUGAUGCAUGAAGGGCAUGUGCAACUCUCAAACAUGGAAACUCUGAUUAGUAUGCAAGCUUGGUAUGCAUGUGUGACCUAAAGAUUCGAUUAUGUAAGCAUUAUUUGUAAGUCUCUUGAUCUGUACAGUCCUAGAAAUACAACCUAUAUCUAUGCUACGUAAUAUGUUUUUGUGGUGGAAACAUGGGAGAUUUUGUCCAUUAAUGAUUGUUAUAUGUGCAUGUCUAGUAGAUGAAGGGCUGUAUUACAAAGUGACAGCCUUAGCGCUGCAUAAUAGCUUACCAAAGCUUCAAGAUUUUUAGGGGCUGGUGCAAUGACAUUGCUUCAGAAAUCUUGUUGUGUGCAAGGACUAAUAAUAUUUCCUUUGGGGACAUUUUGAGGAGUGUAAGGGAAACUAAUAUGUGACCUAAUGUUGAGGCCAAUAUAAAGAUAAGAAUUUUAUUGAAGCAGGUUUCGGCUGACCUCACAAGCUUGAUGGGUAUGUGAUGGUAUAUUUUAGUGUCUCUAGUCAUCCAAGAAAACUCCAGUUUACAUGUAAAGACGAGCGGGAAUGAUUUUCAGCUUUGUUUUCAAUGUGAAAGAUAUAUGAUUGGUACUCUAUUGACAUGUUGAUUGUUAGAGAAAGUGCGGGAGAGUUCAAAUGGCAUGAUCUGACUUGUAAUCUUGCAUUAAUUGAUCAGAAAUGCAAGAAAUGUAUAGUUUAUUUAAUGAACGUGCAAGUGGGGCAACAUGUGUAUUUCCUUCA